rfam:Geodermatophilus obscurus DSM 43160, complete genome.
CACUCAUCCAGAGGGGCAGAGGGACACGGCCCGACGAAGCCCCGGCAACCGCCGCACCGCGCGUCAGCGCAGCGGAAGGUGCCAAUUCCGUCCCGCGCGGCUCGACGGCCCGAUGCGGGGAAGAUGAGGA